UACGUAGGGCGCAAGCGUUGUCCGGAAUUAUUGGGCGUAAAGAGCUCGUAGGCGGCUUGUUGCGUCGGUUGUGAAAGCCCGGGCUUAACCCCGGGUCUGCAGUCGAUACGGGCAGGCUAGAGUGUGGUAGGGGAGAUCGGAAUUCCUGGUGUAGCGGUGAAAUGCGCAGAUAUCAGGAGGAACACCGGUGGCGAAGGCGGAUCUCUGGGCCAUUACUGACGCUGAGGAGCGAAAGCGUGGGGAGCGAACAGG
rnacentral:rRNA from 1 species